rnacentral:lncRNA from 1 species
GUGGUGACCUGGGAAUCAAUGUGUGAGGUGGUGCUAUGUAGCAGGAACCCCUCUUGCUUUGCAAAUAGUUUUUUGUUUGUUUUCCUUUUUGCCCAAUAGAGCCCUGCUCUACUGACCCUUCAAUGUGCCCGUGUGCCUAAAUAUUCCUGGUCGUGUGAAAAGAACCCAGGUAUUAGCUGAACUAAGGAGCACAAUUCUGCAACAUUUUGGCACCCAAACACGGGGCUUGAGAAAUGAAUGCAAUUGGAGAAACUGGUUGUUUUACCAGGCGUUGAUUGGAAAUGUGUGCUUCCCUUUAAGCAGUCAAGCUCAACUUGCAGAACUGAUGGGAACCCCUUGGGAAAACUGGCCUCAAAUGUUUGUCUACACAGUCCACAUACAGGGUUCUUAACCUGCGACUGACCCUGCUUGUGCCUGUGAACCAACCAACAAUCUCUGGCUGCAGCUCAGAAAGGACAAAAGAGAAUGGAUGAGGGAAACUUCCCAGGGCUUGUCUGGGUAUGCCCACAGUGGACUGGAGCCCAAAAUGCACACUGGAGGAAGUGGAUGGAGCCACGUGGAUGUCAUGCCUUAUGCAGGGGAGGAGCCUGCUCUCUUCAGCUCCUGUGGUAAUGUGGGAAUCGAUCUGUGAGACUGGAGUGCAAUGGCAUUAUCUCAGCUCACUGCAACAUCCGCCUCCCGUGUUCAAGCAAUUCUCCUGCUUCAGUCUCCGAAGUAGCUGGGAUUACAAUAGACUGGAUUUUAUCAAGGAAUGUAUUUCUUCUAGAAAAUAGAUACACUUUCAAAGAUACGUUAAUUUACAUGAGAGCUUGCCUGUGUGCACAAUAGAAAGCCAAAAAUAAAGAGGUUAUCAUCUAA